rnacentral:rRNA from 1 species
AUGCAUAGGAAAAAGAGCUCUUUAGAAGUACUGUUCACACAAGUGGUCGGAGAGUUUUUGGUGAAAAACUUUGGUGCCAAGGCAGGAGCUUUUAUCUUCCGCCGCUUUCUCAAACAUACAACCAUCAUACUUUCAAAUGCUCUUGGACCCGUUGAACAUAUGACGUUAUGUGGGCACCCAGUUGCCUUCAUGGCACCUAGCAUCUAUGGCCAACCACAAGCUUUAACCGUGCACUACUAUAAUUAUGGUAGUGAUAUCAAGGUAGUUAUGGCAGUUGAUGAAGCACAUUUUCCAGAUUGUCAUCGACUUUUGGAUGAUUUUUCCGAGUCCAUUAGGAUCAUUAAGAAUGCGGCAGCCCUCAAGAUGUUGAAAACAUCAAUCCAUAAUAGCAAGACCGAGUGA